ACUUUGAAAGUGGUAAGCGUAUUAUACGCACCUCGCUGACGUGCUAAGGCACUGAAAGCCAAGCUCUUUAACAAUAUAAACCAAUCAAUCUG
rnacentral:sRNA from 1 species